rnacentral:rRNA from 1 species
CAGUCGCCGCGGGAAUACAGAGGGUGCGAGCGUUAAUCGGAUUUACUGGGCGUAAAGCGUGCGUAGGCGGCUUCUUAAGUCGGAUGUGAAAUCCCUGAGCUUAACUUAGGAAUUGCAUUCGAUACUGGGAAGCUAGAGUAUGGGAGAGGAUGGUAGAAUUCCAGGUGUAGCGGUGAAAUGCAUAGAUAUGUUAUAGAACACCGAUUGCGAAGGCAGCUGACUAAAGGACGAUUGACGCUGAGGCACGAAAGCGUGGGUAGCGAACAGGAUUAGAUACCCCCGUAGUCCCUGUCUCUUAUAC